rnacentral:rRNA from 1 species
AAUCAACGCUGGCGGCGUGCCUAACACAUGCAAGUCGAACGCGAAAGUCCCGCGAGGGAUAAGUAGAGUGGCAAACGGGCGAGUAACGCGUGGGCGACCUACCUUCGAGUGGGGAUAACCUUCCGAAAGGAGGGCUAAUACCGCAUGACAUCCCGUGUUUGGAUACACGGACAUCAAAGCCGGGGAUCGCAAGACCUGGCGCUUGGAGAGGGGCCCGCGUCCGAUUAGCUAGUUGGUGAGGAACGGCUCACCAAGGCUCCGAUCGGUAUCCGGCCUGAGAGGGCGGACGGACACACUGGGACUGAGACACGGCCCAGACUCCUACGGGAGGCAGCAGUGGGGAAUUGUUCGCAAUGGGCGCAAGCCUGACGACGCAACGCCGCGUGGAGGAUGAAGGAUUUCGGUCCGUAAACUCCUUUCGACCGAGAUGAAUUCUCGCCGACCUAA